AGUACGCAUGAAAAUCGUUUGCUACAGCUGAUUUUGACAAGGCGUGCGUUUAUUAUGCAGCAGAAUUGCACAAUUGUUUUCUAUUCUGGGAAGUCGUUAAUUUUUUUUUAUUAAAUAAGGAUAAUAAUGCGUCUAACUGAAGUGUUAUUUAAGAAAGUUAAAAGCAAACGCAUCAUGGUGCUCAUGGAGAGCGUGGUCAGUGGCCAUCAAUUCAAUAUGUUCCGUGAUCGUUUAGCGGAAAAGCUGGAGUUGAUACGCUUUGAUCCAUAUAUACAACAGGAGUCCAUAUACCGCGAACGCAAGAGGAUACGCAGCGCUAAGUGAUAUAUGUACAUAUUAAUCUGCUAAAUGUAGAAAAAUAAGUUAAUGAGCAUUUGUUUUCAUUUGUAGCACAAAACUGCUGUUAGAUAGCAAAUGAUUACCAUAAAAAUAAAAGCACUUCUAGAUGUCUGAAGCAAGAAUGUAAGGUUACUAAAAGUUUUUGUAAUCUUAAUACGUAUGCACAUUUAUACAAAUUAAAUUGGUUUAUUUUAGUAUACCUAUAAAGGGUUAUAGUUUGUAUAUGUACUGACAUAAUGUUCUGGCAGAGGUCCAAAAUGUUUAAAUCGAUGCUUAAACUAAGCUUGGGGAAAAAGUUAAAAGGCUUAUUUAAAUAAAAGUUGUAAUGAAUCAUUGGAAACAUCACGAGAAUUAAGCUUUUCAACACACUUCGGCAGCGUAAUCGAGACCGACCCAAAAGUAAGUGAAAAAAUUUGAGUAGCGACGUAAAAGAGUGAGCAAUAAAAAGUUGCUGAUAAGAAAAAAAGAAAUAAAUCCCACCAAGUAAAACCAUUGAAAAGCAAAAGUAGUGGAAACGUGAAGUUUGGAAAAAAUUAGAAUGGCAAAAGUUGCACUAAAGUAACAAAAAAAAAAAUAAUAAAUACUAGAUCAAUAAAAAAAAUCCUUAAACUGUCAGUUUUGUAUCACACCAUUAACUACAUCGCUGUGUUAGCAAAUUCGCGCAAAAGAAAAUUUUGUCCGAACAGCAAAAAUUGCGUGGAAAUAUAUUUUACGCAAAAUCAGCGUAAAAUAAACAGCAGAAAAAAGAAAAAAAAUUCUGCAA